UACGUAGGGUGCAAGCGUUAAUCGGAAUUACUGGGCGUAAAGCGUGCGCAGGCGGUCAUACAAGACAGAUGUGAAAUCCCCGGGCUUAACCUGGGAAUUGCAUUUGUGACUGUAUGGCUGGAGUGCGGCAGAGGGGGAUGGAAUUCCGCGUGUAGCAGUGAAAUGCGUAGAUAUGCGGAGGAACACCGAUGGCGAAGGCAAUCCCCUGGGCCUGCACUGACGCUCAUGCACGAAAGCGUGGGGAGCAAACAGG
rnacentral:rRNA from 1 species